rnacentral:rRNA from 1 species
UUGAUCCGGGGAUUUCCGAAUGGGGCAACCCGCGCACCGUCACUGGUGCGCAUCCCCGCCCGAACACAUAGGGCGGGAGAAGCCAUACCCGGGGAAGUGAAACAUCUCAGUACCCGGAGGAACAGACAUCAACCGAGAUUCCCCAAGUAGCGGCGAGCGAACGGGGAUCAGCCUAAACCGGGGCGCUUGCGCCCCGGGGUUGCGGGACCCGCGCAAGGGAACGGAACGGGCCAGGGGAAGCCUCUGGAACGCCGCGCGAUACAGGGUGAGAGCCCCGUACCCGAAGGCCCCGACCGUCCCGCGGGAAUCCCAAGUAGGCCGGAACACGUGAAACUCCGGCCGAAUCCGGGGGGACCACCCUCCAAGGCUAAAUACUAGCCGACGACCGAUAGUGAACCAGUACCGCGAGGGAAAGGUGAAAAGAACCCCGUCUAGGGGAGUGAAACAGAACCUGAAACCAUGCGUCCACAAACUGUCGGAGCCCCUCGGGGCCACGGCAUGCCUUUUGCAUAAUGAGCCUGCGAGUUGCUUCUCACCAGCAAGGUUAAGCCAGUGGCGGAGCCGAAGCGAAAGCGAGUGCGAACAGCGCGUCAAGUUGGUGGGAGCAGACCCGAAGCUGGGUGAUCUAUCCAUGGCCAGGCCGAACCCUCCGUAACAGGAGGUGGAGGGCCGAACCAGUUCGUGUUGAAAAACGUUUGGAUGAGCUGUGGAUAGGGGUGAAAGGCCAAUCAAACCCAGUGAUAGCUGGUUCUCUCCGAAAUAGCUUUAGGGCUAGCGUCGCGCGAUAGCGCGCGGGGGUAGAGCACCGAUUGUUCGCGGGCCCUCACCGGGGUACCAACAACUGUCGAACUCCGAAUACCGCGCCGCCGUACCGCGGCAGUCAGACUGUGGGGGAUAAGCUUCAUAGUCGAAAGGGAAACAGCCCAGACCGUCGGCUAAGGCCCCCAAUCCGGCCCGAGUGGGUUUAAGGAUGUGGAGCCGCACAGACAGCCAGGAUGUUGGCUUAGAGGCAGCCACCAUUUAAAGAGUGCGUAAUAGCUCACUGGUCGAGUGGUUCCGCGCCGCAAAUGAUCGGGACUAAGGCCGGAGCCGAAGCCGCGGAUGCCCCUCCGGGGGCAUGGUAGGAGAGCGUCGCAUGGGGGGCGAAGCCGUCCCGGAAGGGGCGGUGGACUCCAUGCGAGCGAUCAUGCAGGCAUGAAUAACGAGAAGGCGGGUGAGAAUCCCGCCCACCGAAAGUCCAAGGUUUCCUGGGCCAGGUUCGUCCUCCCAGGGUUAGUCGGAUCCUAAGGCGAGGCCGAAAGGCGUAGUCGAUGGACCACGGGUUAAUAUUCCCGUACUUCUCCGCCGGAGCGACGCGGGGACGCGGGACGCUAGGCCGGCCGCCGACUGGUAGUGGCGGUCCAAGCGGGCAGGGCGGACGGCAGGAAAAUCCGCCGUCCACAAGCCCGAGACGCGACGGGGACGGCGCCCACGGGCGCCGGAAGCGGCCGACGCGACACCGACGAGAAAAGCCGCUAAGCGGCGAUGGCGGAGGAUCCGUACCGCAAACCGACACAGGUGGACAAGGCGAGUAGCCUAAGGUGCGCGAGAGAAACCUCGUUAAGGAACUCGGCAAUCUAACCCCGUAACUUCGGGAGAAGGGGUGCCCCGGGCGGUGGAGGGACUUGCUCCCCGAGCCGCAAGGGGCCGCAGCUAAGAGGCCCAGGCGACUGUUUAGCAAAAACACAGCACUCUGCCAACUCGCAAGAGGAAGUAUAGGGUGUGACACGUGACCAAUGCCGAAAGCUCAAGCGGACGGGUCAGCCGCAAGGCGAAGCUCGGAGGCGAAGGCCCGGUGAAUGUCGGCCGUAACUAUAACGGUCCUAAGGUAGCGAAAUUCCUUGUCGGGUAAGUUCCGACCUGCACGAAUCGUGUAACGAUCUGGGCGCUGUCUCGACGUGGUUCUCGGUGAAAUUGUAAUUCCGGUGAAAAUGCCGGAUACCCGCGGCAGGACGGAAAGACCCCGUGAACCUUUACUGUAGUCUGAUAUUGGCAUCCGGCCGUGCAUGUGUAGCAUAGGCGGGAGGCGUCGAAGCGGCCUCGUCAGGGGCCGCGGAGCCACCGGUGAAAUACCGCCCAGAUCGGAAGAGCACACGUCUGAACUCCAGUCACGGCAAGUUAU